rnacentral:rRNA from 1 species
CAGCAGCCGCGGGAAUACAGAGGAUGCAAGCGUUAUCCGGAAUGAUUGGGCGUAAAGCGUCUGUAGGUGGCUUUUCAAGUCCGCCGUCAAAUCACAGGGCUCGACCCUGGACAGGCGGUGGAAACUACCAAGCUAGAGUACGGUAGGGGCAGAGGGAAUUUCCGGUGGAGCGGUGAAAUGCGUUGAGAUCGAAAAGAACACCAACGACGAAAGCACUCUGCUGGGUCGACACUGACACUGAGAGACGAAAGCUAGGGGAGCAAAUGGGAUUAGAUACCCCUGUAGUCCCUGUCUCUUAUAC